rnacentral:lncRNA from 10 species
AGUGUGCUCCCGGGGCUGCUGCGGCAGGCCGAUCCCCAGCACGUCAUCGAGUACUCGCUGGCCCUGGUCACCGUCCUGAACGAGAGCCCCCGCCCAGGAGGGCCCAUGUGCUUACCCUGUUUUGCCCAUGAAGAAACAGCUCAGUGUUGCGGGUCAAUGCCCACAUCACACAGCAUCUAGCACGUAACUGCACCCCGGGAGUCGUGGGCAUCUGCUGGCCUCCUGCCGGUCUCCUGCCCUGCUGACAGCUUGCUGUGCCGCCUGCCUGCCCCAGUACGAGCGGGCCCUGGACGUGGCGGCAGAGCCCAAGCACGAGCGGCAGCGCCGAGCCCAG